AUUUUUUUCUUCAGAUACACGUUCUUGAAUCGUUUGAGAAAGAAUUUUUCUUCGUCAAGAAGCGCGGUGGAAGACCUCGGACUUCUUAAAUACUGGAUCGGUUUACUGGCACCGCCCCUGCCGAGCUGUGAUUCGUACUCAGCGAUAAAAGGCCAGAUUAUAACACCUUGGAUACAAAGGAGCGCAUGUUGGUCUACCCAAAGAUUGCAUUGCUGCAGGUUAAUUAGCUUCUGGGCUGUGAUUUUUACCUACUUCUGUCCCUACGUUACUCAUGUAACCAUAAGAAUAUGUAACACUAAUCCUUGCCAAUCGCUGCAUGAGGAGAGAAGCUACUCGUCGAUCAAAAAGUGG
rnacentral:misc_RNA from 1 species